UCAAUUCCAUUUUGGCAGAAAUUUUAAUGCAAAAGACUUAGACUCUUAACAACCUAAU
rnacentral:tRNA from 1 species